rnacentral:rRNA from 1 species
CAGCAGCCGCGGUAAUACCAGCGCCACAAGUGGCACCAUAGNUAUUGGGUCUAAAAGCGUUCGAAGCUGGUUUGAUAAUCUUUUGUGAAAUUGUUAGACUUAAUUUAACAACGUGCAAGAGACACUAUCAGACUUGAGACCGGUGAGAAGAUAAGAGUAUUCUUUGGGAAGCGGUAAAAUGUUAUAAUCCUUAGAAGACUACCAAUGGCGAAGGCACUUAUCUAGAACGGAUCUGACAGUCAAGGACGAAGGCUAGGGGCGCAAAACGGAUUAGAUACCCGAGUAGUCCUAGCAGUAAACUCUGUGAGCUAGGUGUUGCAUACUCUUCGGGAGUGUGCAGUGCCGUAGUGAAGACGUUUAGCUCACCACCUGGGAAGUACGGUCGCAAGGCUGAAACUUAAAGAAAUUGGCGGGGGAUCACCACAAGGAGUGAGGCGUCCGGUUUAAUCUAAAUCAGCACAGAAAAUCUCACCAGGAGCGCCGGCAGAAUGAAGGUCAGAUUGAAGGUUUUACCUAACGAGCCGAGAGGUGGUGCAUGGCCGUCGUCAGUUCGUGCUGUGAAGUGUCCUGCUAAGCCAGGCAACGAACAAGACCUAUAUUUACAGUUGCUAGCAAGUCAUUAGAUGAUUGAGCACACUGUAGAGACUGCCUUGGAAACAAGGAGGAAGGUGUAGGCAACGGUAGGUCUGUAUGCCCCGAAUCUCCUGGGCUACACGUGCGCAUCAAUGGUAAGAACAAUAGGGUACAACUCUGAAAAGAGAAGUUAAACCUCUAAAUCUUAUCCUAGUCUUGAUUGAGGGCUGUAACUCGCCCUCAUGAUACUGGAAUUCCUAGUAAUCGGAUCUCAAUAGGGUCCGGCAAANUAAGUCCCUUCCCCUUGCACAC